GGGGGAGUGAUGUCAAGUCAGCAUGGCCUUUAUAUCCUGGGCUACACACACGCUACAAUGGCCAACACAAUAGGUUGCUAAGCCGCGAGGUGGCGCCAAUCCAUAAAGUUGGUCUCAGUUCAGAUUGUAGGCUGCAACCCGCCUGCAUGAAGAUGGAGUUGCUAGUAACCGCAGGUCAGCUAUACUGCGGUGAAUACGUUCCCGGGGCUU
rnacentral:rRNA from 1 species